rnacentral:rRNA from 1 species
GAUGAACGCUGGCGGCGUGCCUAAUACAUGCAAGUCGAGCGAACAGACGAGGAGCUUGCUCCUCUGACGUUAGCGGCGGACGGGUGAGUAACACGUGGAUAACCUACCUAUAAGACUGGGAUAACUUCGGGAAACCGGAGCUAAUACCGGAUAAUAUAUUGAACCGCAUGGUUCAAUAGUGAAAGACGGUUUUGCUGUCACUUAUAGAUGGAUCCGCGCCGCAUUAGCUAGUUGGUAAGGUAACGGCUUACCAAGGCAACGAUGCGUAGCCGACCUGAGAGGGUGAGCGGCCACACUGGAACUGAGACACGGUCCAGACUCCUACGGGAGGCAGCAGUAGGGAAUCUUCCGCAAUGGGCGAAAGCCUGACGGAGCAACGCCGCGUGAGUGAUGAAGGUCUUCGGAUCGUAAAACUCUGUUAUUAGGGAAGAACAAAUGUGUAAGUAACUAUGCACAUCUUGACGGUACCUAAUCAGAAAGCCACGGCUAACUACGUG